rnacentral:rRNA from 1 species
GAUGAACGCUAGCUACAGGCUUAACACAUGCAAGUCGAGGGGCAGCAUGAACUUAGCUUGCUAAGUUUGAUGGCGACCGGCGCACGGGUGAGUAACACGUAUCCAACCUGCCGAUGACUCGGGGAUAGCCUUUCGAAAGAAAGAUUAAUACCCGAUGGCAUAGUUCUUCCGCAUGGUGGAACUAUUAAAGAAUUUCGGUCAUCGAUGGGGAUGCGUUCCAUUAGGUUGUUGGCGGGGUAACGGCCCACCAAGCCUUCGAUGGAUAGGGGUUCUGAGAGGAAGGUCCCCCACAUUGGAACUGAGACACGGACCAGACUCCUACGGGAGGCAGCAGUGAGGAAUAUUGGUCAAUGGGCGGAAGCCUGAACCAGCCAAGUCGCGUGGAGGAAGACGGCCCUACGGGUUGUAAACUCCUUUUACCUGGGAAUAACGGGCGCUACGCGUAGCGCUAUGCAUGUACCAGGCGAAUAAGCAUCGGCUAAUUCCGUGCCAGCAGCCGCGGUAAUACGGAAGAUGCGAGCGUUAUCCGGAUUUAUUGGGUUUAAAGGGUGCGUAGGCGGAAGAAUAAGUCAGCGGUGAAAUGCUUCAGCUCAACUGGAGAAUUGCCGAUGAAACUGUUUUUCUAGAGUAUAAAAGAGGUAUGCGGAAUGCGUGGUGUAGCGGUGAAAUGCAUAGAUAUCACGCAGAACCCCGAUUGCGAAGGCAGCAUACUGGGCUAUAACUGACGCUGAAGCACGAAAGCGUGGGUAUCGAACAGG